GGUGUUGUAGCUCAGUGGUAGAGAGCUCACUUAGCACAUGUGAGGCCCUGGGUUCGAUCCCCAGCACCACAU
rnacentral:tRNA from 1 species